UGCUGAUAUUAUUUGGUUACAAUAUCUGGUAUGUAUUUCACUGCAUGUGUGUUCUCUUUUUAGUUCAAGGAACCAUCUUGUUUGCUGUUGUGAGUUCGGUUUGUUGACUUGUGUUGUAUUUUCUUCCUCCUUUUCUUAGUAUGCUUCACAUAGGACUUGUGCACUAUCAUAUCAGGACAUGAAAAGCCAAUUCCUACUCCCUGUUACUGCCAAUUUUUAGAUUUUCUAAAAUAUAAGGAUGGAAAUCAAAGCUUCUGAUCUUAUCCUACUAGAAUUUUCUAAAAUAAGUCAUUUUUCUUGUGGACACAUGUUGUUUAGUUUUAUGAAUUUGCUAUAUACAUGAUUAUCUGAUUACCCUUACCUUCUUUUAGGAAGGUCUUUAUUACCAGUGUUGUUGUGAGAGAACAACAACAUAUUUUGCAUGGGAUUCCUUCAAAGGAACUCUAUCUUAGCAGCUUAUCGCUGGAUGGUAUGACUUACAACAUAAUUGUCCCAAAACUUCGUAAAAGUCCUUGUGUUCAUGAAGCACUCUACAUACUUUAGGACCUACGCUCGAUGGGAUAUCAGCUGAAAUAUGGGACUUCAAAUAUUAUAAUUGGUGUGUUGCUUAAGGGUGACAGAAUGUAGAUUUAUUCAUUGUUAUUUUGGGAAAAGGGUUAGCACAUGAUAUUGUGGCAUACAACGUAUUGGUAUUAAAACCUUAUCAAAACAAGUUUUUGCUAGACGAGCUUGAUGAUAUCUUCGUAUAGAUGAAGCAGAGUUAUGUUCUGACUCACAUAUGCUUUAAUUCUGAGUUAGGAGGCUAUUGGGGAGAGGUGAUAUCAGGAGGGUUAAGAGGUACUUCUCCUUACCUACAUCUCUUAAGAUGUGAGUAUCCACAUUAGCAGAGAUUUAUAAUGUUAUUAUUUUUUAUAUAGUUGACAUAUGGCUAGAGAUGUUUUUUUGAAGAUAUAGAAUUGGGACUAGGCAUUCUUGAGCCUUCACAGUGAAUUGAAAAAAUAUUUUCUCUGUAUGUGAAGUGUAAAUUUCUAGGUAAAUCCUAGAGUGACAAUUUGAUCUUUUGGAGGCUGGUAAAUGGUUCAAGUGGAGGAGCCUCACUCAUUCUUGAGCCUCACUCUAUCAUUGUCUUACCAGACAUAUUUAGAUGGAAAUAGCAUCCACAUAAGGAGGAAUCUCUCACCAAGGCAUAGAGGGACCGGUCAGAACUCAGAAGUUCGAGCCUAAAAUCCUCCCAAUUGCCUUGCUGAUUGUACUGCCUUGAUAGCUUUAAGAGAAGAAUAAGUAAUGUUCUUUCUUAACUUUUAGUUAGCUGUCAUCAUCUAAUUAUAAGCAGUUAUUGCCAGUGCUCCCGAAGUUUUUGUUAUAAUCAAAUAACUGAGCAAGAGACCAUUCAGGGGCUUUGAUGUGGACUCUGUAUUAUUGGUAAAUGUGAUUUUAGUUGGAUAAA